AAAAGAGAACAGCCACGACAGAGGAUACAGUGAAGAUUCAAAAAACGGUGGUGAAUAUUGAAAAGGCGUUGGAGGACACAUAAUAGAAUGCAAAGUCCACAAGGAGAGGGGCUUUGUGUCUUGUUUCACACUGUGUCCCCAGGCUUAGAAUAUUCUGGCAUCAGAAGGCACUCAGUAAACAUAGAGAGGAAGAAAGGAAGAAGAUGAAAUCAGGAGUACAGAUUAAAGUGUUAUCUUUGGAAGACAGGCAAGACAUCCUUUGGGACAGAAGGGAAGGAGAGAAAGCUGGGGAACAUGCAGAUAAUACAAGAGACUGAAUCCAGACAACUUUGGACAUUCCUUCAUUUGAAGAAUUUUUACUGAACAAUUACAGACCAUUGAUUGAUACAGUGAAGAUCAGAAUGGCAUAGUUUUCCUGUCUUCAUGGAGAUGAAUGAAUGAACUGUAUUUUUUAUUAGCCUAAGCAUGAAUUCUUCCCAAAUUUCCUCCAUGAACCAUAGGAUCCUACCUCUUAACCAUUUUAUGAAAAUUCUAUGGUGAAUUGAGGUCCUCAAGUUGUCUGACAAUAUCUGAUUUUGCCACGGUCAUGUGGGAAAAGUAGGCAUGUGAGCAAGUCAUAGUUUUACUUGUUUGGAAGAUUCUUCUAAUUAUGUCAAGAUGAAAGGUUUUAUACUGUGUAGAAGGCAGUGUGAGAGAAGUGGACAG
rnacentral:lncRNA from 10 species